AAAACCAAUGCCCUUCGGGGCUCACUGGUGAUUCAUAAUAACUUCUCGAAUCGCAUGGCCUUGCGCCGGCGAUGGUUCAUUCAAAUUUCUUCCCUAUCAACUUUCGAUGCUAGAGUAGUGUUCUAGCAUGGUUACAACGGGUAACGGAGGGUUAGGGCUCGACCCCGGAGAAGGAGCCUGAGAAACGGCUACUACAUCCAAGGAAGGCAGCAGGCGCGCAAAUUACCCAAUCCCGACACGGGGAGGUAGUGACGAUAAAUACUGAUACAGGGCUCUUUUGGGUCUUGUAAUUGGAAUGAGUACAAUUUAAAUCCCUUAACGAGGAACAAUUGGAGGGCAAGUCUGGUGCCAGCAGCCGCGGUAAUUCCAGCUCCAAUAGCGUAUAUUAAAGUUGUUGUGGUUAAAAAGCUCGUAGUAGAACCUUGGCACCGGCCGGGGGGUCCGCCUCACCGCGAGUACUCCACCGGUUGGUGCUUUCCUUCUGUGGAACCGCAUGCCCUUCACUGGGUGUGCCGGGGAAACAGGACUUUUACUUUGAAAAAAUUAGAGUGCUCCAGGCAGGCCUAUGCUCGAAUACAUUAGCAUGGAAUAAUAGAAUAGGACGUGUGGUUCUAUUUUGUUGGUUUCUAGGACCGCCGUAAUGAUUAAUAGGGACAGUCGGGGGCAUCAGUAUUCAAUUGUCAGAGGUGAAAUUCUUGGAUUUAUUGAAGACUAACUACUGCGAAAGCAUUUGCCAAGGAUGUUUUCAUUUAUCAGGAACGAAAGUUAGGGGAUCGAAGACGAUCAGAUACCGUCGUAGUCUUAACCAUAAACUAUGCCGACUAGGGAUCGGACGA
rnacentral:rRNA from 1 species